rnacentral:rRNA from 1 species
AAAACUCACCAGGUCCAGAUACACGUAUGAAAGACAAGCUGAAAGACUUUUCUCAAUGAUGUAAGUGGUGGUGCAUGGUCGUUCUUAGUUCGUGGAUUGAUUUGUCUGGUCUAUUCCGAUAACGAGCGAGACCCCGACGUUCCUAAUAGGGGCGGCAGCCAGGCUCGCCCUCGCGGGCUUGCUAGCAGUCGCCUUAAUUAGCUUCUUAGACGUAUCAGAGCCGAUAAGGUUCUUGAAAUGGGUUAAUAACAGGUCAGUCAUGCCCUUAGAUGUUCUGGGCCGCACGCGCGUUACAAUGGUAUACAUAGAAAGUGCCUCAAAGGGCGUCUCCGCGGCCGACAGGUCGCGGUAACCCCUAAUCUCUCCCUUGACUGGGACAGACUAUUGCAAUUAUUGGUCUCCAACGAGGAAUUUUUAGUAGUCGCAGGUCAUUAACCUGCGACGAAUGCGUCCCUGCCCUUUGUACACACCGCCCGUCGCUGCUACCGAUU